GUGUCAGCAGCCGCGGUAAUACGGAGGGGGCUAGCGUUACUCGGAAUUACUGGGCGUAAAGCGAGCGUAGGCGGUUAAUCAAGUUGGGGGUGAAAGCCCGGGGCUCAACCCCGGAAAUGCCCUCAAAACUAGUUAACUAGAGGACGGGAGAGGGGAGUGGAACUCCCAGUGUAGAGGUGAAAUUCGUAGAUAUUGGGAAGAACACCAGUGGCGAAGGCGACUCUCUGGACCGUUUCUGACGCUAAGGCUCGAAAGCGUGGGUAGCAAACAGGAUUAGAUACCCUGGUAGUCCACGCCGUAAACGAUGAGUGCUAGACGUUGGGGGGAACGCCCUUCAGUGUCGUCGCUAACGCAUUAAGCACUCCGCCUGGGGAGUACGGUCGCAAGAUUAAAACUUAAAUGAAUUGGCGGGG
rnacentral:rRNA from 1 species